rnacentral:rRNA from 1 species
UACGUAGGCAGCAAGCGUUGUUCGGAGUUACUGGGCGUAAAGGGUGUGUAGGCGGUUAUUUAAGUUUGGUGUGAAAUCUCCCGGCUCAACCGGGAGGGUGCGCCGAAUACUGAAUGACUUGGAGUGCGGGAGAGGAAAGUGGAAUUCCUGGUGUAGCGGUGAAAUGCGUAGAUAUCAAGCAGAACACCUGUGGCGAAGGCGGCCUUCUGGACGAUGACUGACGCUGAGACGCGAAAGCGUGGGGAGCAAACAGG